AGUGAACGCUGGCGGCAGGCCUAACACAUGCAAGUCGAACGGAAGCACAGUAAGCUUUUGCCCUUACGGGUGGCGGGUGGCGGGCGGGUGACGCAUACAUAGGCUUCUUCUUUUUCGUGGGGGACAUCGUAGGGCAACUUCUGCUACCACAGAAUGUGUUCAACCGGAGAAAUCAAGGGUUAUUCGGACUUUUGGCGAUUGUAUGAGCCGGGGCCGGGUUGGCUAGUUGGCGGGGUAAAGGCCCACCAAGGCAACGAUCCGUAGCUGGUCUGAGAGGAUGAUCGGCCACACUGGAACUGAGACACGGUCCAGACUCCUACGGGAGGCAGCAGUGGGGAAUAUUGGACAAUGGGCGAAAGCCUGAUGCAGCCAUACCGCGUGAGUGAAGAAGGUCUUCGGAUUGUAAAACUCUGUUGUUGGGAAAGAAAAGCAGCAGAAUAAUACCCGGCUGUUCUGACGGUACCCAAAGAGAAAGCACCGGCUAACUACGUG
rnacentral:rRNA from 1 species